rnacentral:rRNA from 1 species
UAGUCCACGCCGUAAACUAUGAUUACUCGUUAUUGGCGAUACACUGUCAGUGACUAAGCGAAAGUUUUAAGUAAUCCACCUGGGGAGUACGGUCGCAAGAUUGAAACUCAAAGGAAUUGACGGGGGCCCGCACAAGCGGUGGAGCAUGUGGUUUAAUUCGAUGAUACGCGAGGAACUUUACCAGGGCUUAAAUGCAAGAUGACGAACUUGGAAACAAGUUUUUCUUCGGACAGAUUGCAAGGUGCUGCAUGGCUGUCGUCAGCUCGUGCCGUGAAAUGUUGGGUUAAGUCUCGCAACGAGCGCAACCCCUAUCUUUAGUUGCCAGCAUUAAGUUGGGCACUCUAGAGAGACUGCCCGGGUUAACCGGGAGGAAGGUGGGGAUGACGUCAAGUCCUCAUGGCCCUUAUGCCUAGGGCUACACACGUAAUACAAUGGUUGAUACAAAGGGAAGCGAGCACGCGAGUGUUAGCAAAUCUCAAAAAGUCAAUCUCAGUCCGGAUUGGAGUCUGCAA